GAUGAACGCUGGCGGCGUGCCUAAUACAUGCAAGUCGAGCGAACAGACGAGGAGCUUGCUCCUCUGACGUUAGCGGCGGACGGGUGAGUAACACGUGGAUAACCUACCUAUAAGACUGGGAUAACUUCGGGAAACCGGAGCUAAUACCGGAUAAUAUAUUGAACCGCAUGGUUCAAUAGUGAAAGACAGUUUUGCUGUCACUUAUAGAUGGAUCCGCGCCGCAUUAGCUAGUUGGUAAGGUAACGGCUUACCAAGGCAACGAUGCGUAGCCGACCUGAGAGGGUGAUCGGCCACACUGGAACUGAGACACGGUCCAGACUCCUACGGGAGGCAGCAGUAGGGAAUCUUCCGCAAUGGGCGAAAGCCUGACGGAGCAACGCCGCGUGAGUGAUGAAGGUCUUCGGAUCGUAAAACUCUGUUAUUAGGGAAGAACAAAUGUGUAAGUAACUAUGCACGUCUUGACGGUACCUAAUCAGAAAGCCACGGCUAACCACGUG
rnacentral:rRNA from 1 species